rnacentral:rRNA from 1 species
GGGCAGGGGGGCGUGCUAUAAUGCAGUCGUACGCUUCUUUUUCCACCGGAGCUUGCUCCACCGGAAAAAGAAGAGUGGCGAACGGGUGAGUAACACGUGGGUAACCUGCCCAUCAGAAGGGGAUAACACUUGGAAACAGGUGCUAAUACCGUAUAACAAUCGAAACCGCAUGGUUUUGAUUUGAAAGGCGCUUUCGGGUGUCGCUGAUGGAUGGACCCGCGGUGCAUUAGCUAGUUGGUGAGGUAACGGCUCACCAAGGCCACGAUGCAUAGCCGACCUGAGAGGGUGAUCGGCCACAUUGGGACUGAGACACGGCCCAAACUCCUACGGGAGGCAGCAGUAGGGAAUCUUCGGCAAUGGACGAAAGUCUGACCGAGCAACGCCGCGUGAGUGAAGAAGGUUUUCGGAUCGUAAAACUCUGUUGUUAGAGAAGAACAAGGAUGAGAGUAACUGUUCAUCCCUUGACGGUAUCUAACCAGAAAGCCACGGCUAACUACGUGCCAGCAGCCGCGGUAAUACGUAGGUGGCAAGCGUUGUCCGGAUUUAUUGGGCGUAAAGCGAGCGCAGGCGGUUUCUUAAGUCUGAUGUGAAAGCCCCCGGCUCAACCGGGGAGGGUCAUUGGAAACUGGGAGACUUGAGUGCAGAAGAGGAGAGUGGAAUUCCAUGUGUAGCGGUGAAAUGCGUAGAUAUAUGGAGGAACACCAGUGGCGAAGGCGGCUCUCUGGUCUGUAACUGACGCUGAGGCUCGAAAGCGUGGGGAGCAAACAGGAUUAGAUACCCUGGUAGUCCACGCCGUAAACGAUGAGUGCUAAGUGUUGGAGGGUUUCCGCCCUUCAGUGCUGCAGCUAACGCAUUAAGCACUCCGCCUGGGGAGUACGACCGCAAGGGUUGAAACUCAAAGGAAUUGACGGGGGCCCGCACAAGCGGUGGAGCAUGUGGGUUUAAUUUCGAAGCAACGCGAAGAACCUUUACCAGGUCUUGACAUCCCUUUGACCACUCUAGAGAUAGAGCUUCCCCUUCGGGGGCAAAGGUG